rnacentral:rRNA from 1 species
UACAGAGGUCUCAAGCGUUGUUCGGAUUCAUUGGGCGUAAAGGGUGCGUAGGUGGCGCUGUAAGUCGGGUGUGAAAUUUCGGAGCUUAACUCCGAAACUGCAUUCGAUACUGCGGUGCUUGAGGACUGGAGAGGAGACUGGAAUUCAUGGUGUAGCAGUGAAAUGCGUAGAGAUCAUGAGGAAGACCAGUGGCGAAGGCAGGUCUCUGGACAGUUCCUGACACUGAGGCACGAAGGCCAGGGGAGCAAACGGG